GAACCCUCAGUUUGUUUUUCAGAGUCCAUCAUCUCUCAUGGUCGAUUAGGUUUUUUUGAGACUCAUUUCUCCCCUCUUCUCCCACAUAUGCUAUUAAAGUAAUAGUGAAGGAAAAAGGCAUAAACUAUCAUCACCAAGAAAGAGAUGGGAAGGGGGAGGCAGAAGACAGACUUCUGAAACAGAGAAAGCAGGAAAAGGACCAGCAGCUGAGGACACUGGAUGGAAGAUACUUGUAGGGUCCCAUGGAGAAGGUUGUGACGCAAGAGGAAGCCAGACUGGCCCCGUGGAAUCAGAGUCAUGUGACCUGGAAACAGCUACUAUUGCAAUGGUCAUUAUUUUCUAGCACGUUUGACCAGGAGCAGAAUGAUGAGGGUGAAAUGAGUGGCUAUAACAUCACUUCAUAAUUUCGGACACCAGGAAAAGACUAUACAGUUGACCCUUGAAGGACACAGGUUGGGAGAAAUAGAAAACAACCAGGAAUAUACAAGAGACCAUAUGUGGCCUACAAAGCCUGAAAUGUGGGGCGCCUGGGUGGCUCAGUCAUUAAGCGUCUGCCUUCGGCUCAGGUCAUGAUCCCAGGGUCCUGGGAUCGAGCCCCGCAUCGGGCUCUCUGCUCCGCGGGAAGCCUGCUUCUCCCUCUCCUGCUCCCCCUGCUUGUGUUCCUGCUCUCACUGUGUCUCUGUCAAAUAAAUAAAUAAAAAUCUUAAAAAAAAAAAAAGCCUGAAAUAUUUAUUAUUUAGCUUUUUGGAGAAGAGGUUUGCCAAUCCCUGAUAACAGUCAA